rnacentral:rRNA from 1 species
AUGGGCAUCUUGCCAGUGAUCUAUGCACUACUCCCUUUCUUGGUACUCGGGUCACUAGGAAAGCUAACUGCGUUAGCAUCUGGAGUUGUAACAAGCCACAGUCCAGAACAUAAUAGUGUUCCCCGGAGUGCCUCGCUCGAAGGUUGCGUGAAGACAUGUGGCAAUCUGAGCUUUGACUAUCCCUUUGGCAUUGGGUUGAGGUGCUCCCGUGGGCCUGAUUUCAAUCUCUCUUGCAACGAGACUCCCAACCUCACAAGCUCUUCUUGCAUGACGGCAUCACCGAGGUAACCGGCGAUAUCGAUGUGAAUCAUUUUGGCCCUGGAAAUUUCAUCAGCACCUCCUUCCGGCAUACCAUCCCUUUGAAAUCUGGUGUCGAAGUGUAUGAAUUGUCGCUGAAAUCACCUGGGAGGUCCUUCACCCAUGGGUACACCGUUCUAAACAUCAUAGGUUGCGACCUAGAUGUGUAUUGGGUCAACGACAACACCGGCACAACCAGACGCGUCUGCAAAACUGCGUGCCUGGACCUAGGAAUUACGGAGACAGUGGCUAGGAAGAAGUGCAACGGCGUCGGUUGCUGUAGUUUCCCCAUCGAUGACCAUAGCAUCGACACUUUUCACCUCAAAUUUGUAUUGCGCCAUAGGAAAAUUAACACCGGAGCAUGCCCUAACCGGACCUCUCCAUUGUGGGAUAGAAUCAGCAUAACGGACAGUGGCGGUGCCACUGUUCGUUGGAAUAUGGUGGAUCAACCCAACUGUGCUGGCACGGUGCGAAACAGGACUGCCUAUGCCUGUAUCAGCGAGCAUGCCGAGUGCGUCGACAGUACAUUUUUUGACUGCCCAUUGACACGUGAUGAGUGUGUUGACUUCGGCAUGACAUCAAGCAAUGGGUGCAACUGCGUCUGCGGUGCCGGCUAUACAGGCAAGCCCUUCAUUCAAGGUGGAUGCUCCAACGACAAAGGGUAUAAUCCAAUUGCAAGCAGAGCUGAUUGUACCCCCGUUCGUGUGGUAACAUUAGUGUGCAGUUCCCGUUCGGCUUAGAAGAGGGUUGCUUUGCUAGGGAAGAUUUUCACCUCAACUGCUCAGUUACGACUUCAUCAGCUGUCCUCAUGUUGGCACAUCUGGAGGUAAACAGCAUGAAUGUUGAUGAAGGGACCAUUAAUAUCACCAAUCCUGAGCAAAUAGGAGGAUUCACCCUGUCUGGAGGAGGACCUGAUCUUUUUUAUUCAUAUGGGACAUUGUUCUCCCCUCUGCAAUGGGUUGCUGCAAAUCUAAGUUGCAUAGAGGCCCAACAUAAUAGAUCUGGAUAUGCUUGUGUGAGUCUCAACAGCAAGUGCGUAGAAGUAAACACUGCAGACAACUAUGUUGGUUAUCACUGCAAAUGCGCAGAUGGCUUCCAAGGAAAUCCAUACGUCCAAAGUGGUUGUAGAGACAUUGAUGAAUGCAUUCAGCCAAACAUUUGUAAAGGGAUCUGCAAUAAUAUUGAAGGAAGCUUCUUUUGUACUGGAUGUCCUCGCAAGACUGAGUAUGAUCCAACAAAAAUGCAGUGUACUAGAAGGAAACAACAGACUCUGCUUUUAGGUAUAAUUAUUGGGUUGUCUUGUGGAUUCGGUGUUCUACUUCUGAGCUUCAGUGCAUCACUUCUCAUUCGUAGAUGGAAAAGAAAUGUUCAAAAGCAACUACGGAAAAAAUAUUUCCAGAAGAACCAAGGUCUUCUCCUAGAAACGUUGAUAUCAUCUGAUGAAACUCCAAAUGAGAAUACUAAGAUUUUCUCGGUAGAAGAGCUGGAGAAGGCAACAAACAACUUUGAUCCUACACGUAUCAUUGGACGUGGGGGCCAUGGCAUGGUUUACAAAGGCAUAUUGUCUGAUCAGCGUGUUGUUGCAGUAAAAAGGUCUAAGGUCAUCGAGCAGUCUGAGAUCAGUGAAUUCAUCAAUGAGGUCGCAGUCCUUACUCAGAUAAACCACAGAAAUAUUGUCAAGCUCUUUGGAUGUUGUCUCAAAACCGAGGUUCCACUGCUGGUGUAUGAUUAUGUAUCCAGUGGCUCACUGUCUGAAGUUCUUCAUGCAGAUGCAAGUGAAGGUUUUUCUUUGACUUGGGGUGAUUACUUAAGGAUUGCCCUCGAAACAGCAGGUGCUCUGUCUUAUCUCCACUCUUCAGCUUCAAUAUCAAUCUUCCAUCGUGACGUGAAGUCCUCAAAUAUACUCUUGGAUGGGAAUUACACAGCUAAAGUUUCAGACUUUGGUGCUUCUAGAUUGGUUCCAAUUGAUCAAACACAUAUUGUUACAAAUGUGCAAGGUACAUUUGGGUACUUAGAUCCAGAGUAUUUCCAUACCAGGCAGCUGAACGGGAAGAGCGACCUGUACAGUUUUGGUGUGGUACUAGUGGAGUUGCUUCUCAGAAUGAAGCCUGUAUUUACAAGUGAAUCAGGCACAGUCAAGAGUUUGUCAAACUAUUUCCUCCAGGAGUUCAAUGAGGGAAGAAUCACAGAUAUCGCUAAUUCUCAGGUCCUUGAGGAGGCAACCGAGGAAGAGAUCAAUGGUGUUGCCUCUCUUGCAGAGCGGUGCUUGAGGCUACACGGCGAAGAAAGACCAACCAUGAAACAGGUUGAGACAGAACUGCAGACUCUACGGACAGAACGGAUGAACUCAUCUCAGCAUGAUCUGAGAAAUGGAGAACAGAUGCAACCAAGGUCGUUAACUCGAAUGAGUAGAUCUGCUCGGCAAUUGUCCGCACAGCCAGGAGGUAGCCAACAACGCUAUAGCUUGGAGGCAGAGUUCUUGUCAUCGGCUAGCCUACCACGCUAG